CUCCUUUUAUAGUUCAUAAGCAUGAUUGGGUUUUCACACUCACGUGUGAGAUGUUCCUACUUCAAACCUUGUUAUGACAUUGGCAUAUUACCCAUCUGACA